rnacentral:rRNA from 1 species
UGGGGAAUAUUGGACAAUGGGCGAAAGCCUGAUCCAGCCAUGCCGCGUGUGUGAAGAAGGUCUUCGGAUUGUAAAGCACUUUAAGUUGGGAGGAAGGGCAUUAACCUAAUACGUUAGUGUUUUGACGUUACCGACAGAAUAAGCACCGGCUAACUCUGUGCCAGCAGCCGCGGUAAUACAGAGGGGGCAAGCGUUAAUCGGAAUUACUGGGCGUAAAGCGCGCGUAGGUGGUUUGUUAAGUUGGAUGUGAAAUCCCCGGGCUCAACCUGGGAACUGCAUUCAAAACUGACUGACUAGAGUAUGGUAGAGGGUGGUGGAAUUUCCUGUGUAGCGGUGAAAUGCGUAGAUAUAGGAAUGAACACCAGUGGCGAAGGCGACCACCUGGACUAAUACUGACACUGAGGUGCGAAAGCGUGGGGAGCAAACA